AUAACUACGAUACCCGCGACCGUUCGCUUUUGUCAGUUGACCUUGAGCAGUGUCCGCAGUGUCCACGGUGCAACAACGGCAGUGGCAGCGUCAGUCGCCACAGCUGAUCGCACGAAGAACGCAACACACGGGCGCAAACGCACUACAGGAACCACCUCCACGUCCGGUUAAUCACUAUUUUAUGGUCCAGUUACCUGAUUCGACCAUGAUCAUAGUGUAUAAUAUCACCACAUUAUUAUUAAUAUUUAUUUUACUACUAAUAAUAAUAUUUUUGUUUUGGCCGUUCAAAUACUUCUAGUGAUUGGAUUUGGUUAAUGGUUAUUAUUACUUAUUAGUUAGGUAUUAAUAGUAUUAUGUAUUUUUGUAUGUUAUUACGUUAUCCCGGCCAACCUUAUGGACCUUAACAAAUUAUAACCAAAAAACUAAAAUAUUUAUUGUUGUAUUCGGUGGUAACGUUCGCAUAUCGUAAUAUAAUUAUUGCGGUAUAGCGACAAUUACGCGCUGAAAAAAGACGGCAAAAAUAAAAAACAAUUUUAUCGUUAUUUUUUUCCCCCUCGCCGUUUAUAUGACGUAUAUAAAUAUAAUCUAUUAUUUGGUUGCACGAGAGUUAUUUAAGGCGGCCGACGUCAGCGCAACUAGCUCUAUGCAGAAUAUGCGUUCGACGUUGGCACCGGGCCACCGGCUUUCCGUCUGUUGUCGCAGGACGCUGCGACUAACGGUCGCCACAAGAACGGUUGAAGACUACGACGCGGACUAUUGUUCAGAGAACUGUUGUUCGACGUGAGCACGUGACCAUGUUCCCGUCCAAGGGAUUGUUCCGGAACGUCUUCUUCCAGCCUUAUAACGACCAUGGUUCAGCGAGAUUGAGGAACUCUUCCAAGAAUAGUAAGCAUUUUGUACAACGACUUGGCUUGGAAAAAAUUUUGGAAAAUCAUCACGGAUGUGUUAAUUCUGUGAAUUGGAACGAUACUGGAUCAUUAUUACUUACAGCUGGUGAUGAUAAACAUAUAGUGAUUACUAAUCCAUUUUCAUACAAAGUUCUUGUUGAUUAUAAAACACAACAUAAAACUAAUAUUUUCUGUGCAAAAUUCUUACCUACUUCAGACAACCGUAUCAUUUCAUGUGGUGCAGAUGGUUCUGUUCUUAAUCUUGAUUUGGAAAGACCAGAGGAGACGGAGUGGAAUUUUUUUACUUGCCAUUGUAGCCAAUGCUAUAAACUAGAAACAAUACCCAAUGAACCCAAUAUAUUUCUAAGCUGUAGUGAAGAUGGUACAGUUCGUGAAUAUGAUCUCAGAACGAGUGUUAAAUGUUCAAAACAACGUUGUGAUGACCAUGAAUUGAUUGAUUGCGGUAAACCUGUUUCCACUAUUGCGAUAAAUCCUGUUAAACCUUAUCAACUUGCUAUUGCCACAAUAGAUAGUAUAGUUAGAAUAGUCGACAGAAGAAAAAUUAUGAAAAAAGGAUUAUUUCAAAAAAUUGUUCCUGAAUUUUCCUUUACUGUUCCUCAUCUAAAUCAUCGUGCUUACCGUAUAACAUCUUUGUCAUACUCACCUGAUGGCAGAGACAUGCUUGCAAGCUAUUCCUAUGAAGAAAUAUAUUUGUUUAGCCUUAAUAAAGAUUCUUGUAUGACAGCAGUUGCUAAUGACUUUUUAGAAAAUGCACCAAUUCCACCACCAUAUAGACGAAUAAGAUUAAGAGGUGACUGGGGUGACACUGGACCUUUAUCUCGACCAUCUACUGAUAAUCUUACAAGAUCAAGAAUACAGUCUGAAGUUAUGGCUCGAAUGAGUGACAUGUUAAUUCAUGUAUUUAAUACACCAUCAUUACGUUCUGUUGUUAUGCAAAAUUGGAGACCAAACUAUUCUCCUCCAGUUUCAGCAUCCUUGAGACGUACUAUAAGUACAAUUGAACCACAAGGUUCAGACGAAUUUGAUGUUCCUAUCAAUGUAGAUAUUGAUGAAAAUACCAACUCAAAUGAAAAUAAUAUUGUACAGUCUACUUCAAAUAGCAGUAACCAAAGAGUUGAAAAUAAAUUAAAAACUAAUAAAAAAACUCCAGUGUUUGAUGAUUUUAUUGCACUUCAACCAAUCAAAGCACAAUAUAAAGGUCAUAGAAAUGCUAGAACUUUAAUCAAAGAAGCAACAUUCUGGGGCAAUGAUUUUAUUAUGUCAGGUAGUGAUUGUGGACAUGUGUUUAUAUGGGAUCGUUAUACAUGUGAAAUAGUGAUGUUGCUAAUGGCAGAUACACAUGUGGUUAAUUGUAUUCAACCACACCCUAGUAGGCCUUUACUAGCAACUUCUGGUGUUGAUCAUAAUGUUAAGCUUUGGAGUCCAAUGUGUAUUGAUAGAAUGUUCUAUCAAUCAUUUGCAAAAGAGCUAGUGGAAAGAAAUAAAUUAAUGAUGGAACAAUCAAAAGAUACAGUGACUGUGUCUCCAUCAUUAAUAGUGCGAAUGCUUUCUUAUUUCAAUCAACUUAGACGAAGUGGAUACUUAGAAAGGACAAAUGCCAUCCAUAAUGUAAUUUAAUUCAUAUAAAUUGGAUACCUUUUUUAGUAUGUGCUGACAUGAAAACCCAGAUUUUUAAACAUAAUAAAUUGUAUCUAGUUAAGAUCAAUUGAACAAGAGGCGAAGCGUCAUAGGAUACAAUGAGACAACAUCUACCCACUAAGAAAUUAGAACACAGGAAAAAUAAUUUUGUUUUAUAAAAUAUUCACAAACUUUAACAUCAUUUAUACUAUAAAAAUGACAUAUGUUUAAAUAUUUGUUAAAAUUGGUUUUUCGUUGUACAGCUAUAGUCUUUAAGAAUUAUUAAAAUAGAUUAGAUGCGCGCAAUACGGCCAUGCGGCUCAUUCCAAAUAUUGUAUAAUAUCAAAGAUGUGCACGCGGGUACAGAGGGGAUUUUAAUGUAAGUGGGGUUUACUAUCUUUGCUAUGAGACACGUCUCGCUAUUCGGAUUUCCUCAAUUAUCUACAUCUACAUUACGUUGUUACGCCAUCGCCCCCUUUAAAUCGCUAUUACUGAUAGCCGAUAGGUACCUACAUAUUUCUUAAUAUUGUUGUUUUUAUAGUGUAGUUUGUCAUCAUGGCUGAUGAUAUAAUUUAUGUCAUUUUGAACAAUGGAAUUAUUAAUUACUCAUAUGAAAAAAAAAUGUAUUAUUGAAU
rnacentral:misc_RNA from 1 species